GACGAACGCUGGCGGCGUGCUUAACACAUGCAAGUCGAACGAAGUGGCGAACGGGUGGGUAACGCGUAAUCAACCUGCCCUUCAGAGGGGGACAACAGUUGGAAACGAAUGCUAAUACCGCAUACUUCAGGAGGGGAUUGCGUCGUAUUAGCUAGUUGGGGGGGUAACGGCCCACCAAGGCGAUGCUCAGUAGCCGGUCUGAGAGGAUGAACGGCCACAUUGGGAAUUGGACACGGCCCAGACUCCUACGGGAGGCAGCAGUGGGGAAUCUUCCGCAAUGGACGAAAGUCUGACGGAGCAACGCCGCGUGAGUGAUGACUGCCUUCGGGUUGUAAAGCUCUGUUGAUCGGGACGCGGUACCGGAAUAGAAAGCCACGGCUAACUACGUGCCAGCAGCCGCGGUAAUUC
rnacentral:rRNA from 1 species